rnacentral:rRNA from 1 species
GAUGAACGCUGGCGGCGUGCCUAAUACAUGCAAGUCGAGCGAACAGACGAGGAGCUUGCUCCUCUGACGUUAGCGGCGGACGGGUGAGUAACACGUGGAUAACCUACCUAUAAGACUGGGAUAACUUCGGGAAACCGGAGCUAAUACCGGAUAAUAUAUUGAACCGCAUGGUUCAAUAGUGAAAGACGGUUUUGCUGUAACUUAUAGAUGGAUCCGCGCCGCAUUAGCUAGUUGGUAAGGUAACGGCUUACGAAGGCAACGAUGCGUAGCCGACCUGUGAGGGUGUUCGGCGACACUGGAAGUGAGACGCCGCCCUGACUCCUACGGGAGGCACCAGUAGGGAAUGUUCCGCAAUGGGCGGAAGCCUGACGGAGCAGCGCCGGGUGGGUGAUGAAGGUCUUCGGAUCGUAAAACUCUGUUAUUGGUGAAGAACAAAUGUGUAAGUAACUAUGCACGUCUUGACGGUACCUAAUCAGAAAGCAACGGCUAACUACGUG